CUCAGGACAGCCUUCCCAGAGCUCCCCUCAGUGAUGUAAAGCCACCCACCCUCAACUAGUGGCAGGGCUCUCCAGCUGCCCUCUGCCUGGUUGACGGACCCAGCCUAGGAGGGGAGGAAGGCAGAACAGGGAGAGAUGGGCCCUGGGGGAGGGAAGAGUGGGAGCAAGGAGCUGUACCCAGAGGCCAGGCCCACCCGCCCACUUGUGCAGGGGCCCAAGCUUGCUCAGCUGGGCCUUCAGGGGAUUCAAGAGGCAGCACAGGACAGAGAAGUUUCCAUGACAGGCAGCAGGGGCCAGGGGCCUGGGAGUCAGGAGGCCUGGUUCCAGGGCCUGCUCUGCCUAUACAGCCUGAAGAUGCGCUGCUCGGAGAAGACGGAGAAGGCCAGAAGCGUGUACAGGAGAGGAGCCCAUCCCACUGGUGCUGCUGGGGGGCCGUGCUAUACAUCCACUUGAGGACCGCGUCCCUGAUGAAGACGGACAGGGCUCGCAGGAUGAAGGACGCAAACAGGUUCAGGUGGAUGUAGUUCCGGGUGCAGUGCAGGUGUCUGUGGGACAAAGCAGAGCUCCUUCCUGGCAAGAUGGCCGGUGGGUCUGCUCCACAAGCCUCAGUUCUCAAGCUAACGAACCCCCUCAGGCAUGUGUCUGUCUCUGGGACUGUCUUUUCUUCCUCUGAAAAUGCCCUUCUUCCUCAUAACCCUGAAAAUUCUCAGCCCAAUGUUAAGUCCUGCCUCUCCACGAAGCCUUCAGGUGUGUGCUCACUGCCACCCUCCGUCCACACUGUCCUUCCUUCUACGGCGUCUUCUUUUCUACAGAGUGGUGUGUAAGCCAAGAGGACCCCUUGGCCCAAGAGAGACUUCCUGAGGAAAGGACCCACCUCUCACAUGCUCAAGGUUGCCUCACAGAGGGCUAGGGCGAAGCACAUGGUCGGAAUUCAGGAAGUAUUAGACACAAUUUCAAUAUCCUUUCAGGUAAAAAACGCAUAGCUAACUGCAAAUACAAGGGCGUUUCUUAACUUGAUAAGGGCUAUCGAACCACACUGGGAGCAAACAUCAUUCUUAACUGAGGAAUUUUAUAAGCAUUUCCUUCAAAUUCAAAUAAAUAAGAAUUGCCUAGCCUAACAAAGCUAUCAUCACGUCUAUUGAACAUCAUAGUCCAGAUCCUGGCCGCUGAAGAGUGCAAGGGGAAAAAAAUCAUAAGAAUUGGAAAUGAAAGAACAAAAUUGUCAUUAUUUGUAGAGGGGAGAGUAUCUUCGUUGAGAAUUCAAGAUAAUCUACUCACAAAUUAUUAGAACCAAUUAGGAGAGUCCAUCUAGCAAGGUUGCUGAUGUGCGUUUAUGUAGAGCAGCAAUAAACACUUAAAAAAACACAUUUCAAAAAUUCACUUACAAUUUUUUAAUUGGCUACAUAGAAAAAAGUCCAACAGAAGAUGGGCAAGUUCUCUAUGGAGGAUAUAAUAAAACUUGCUUAAAAUUGUUAGAGAAGACUUAAAAUCCCACGU